AAGAGUUUGAUCCUGGCUCAGAUUGAACGCUGGCGGCAGGCCUAACACAUGCAAGUCGAGCGGAUGAAGGGAGCUUGCUCCUGGAUUCAGCGGCGGACGGGUGAGUAAUGCCUAGGAAUCUGCCUGGUAGUGGGGGAUAACGUCCGGAAACGGGCGCUAAUACCGCAUACGUCCUGAGGGAGAAAGUGGGGGAUCUUCGGACCUCACGCUAUCAGAUGAGCCUAGGUCGGAUUAGCUAGUUGGUGGGGUAAAGGCCUACCAAGGCGACGAUCCGUAACUGGUCUGAGAGGAUGAUCAGUCACACUGGAACUGAGACACGGUCCAGACUCCUACGGGAGGCAGCAGUGGGGAAUAUUGGACAAUGGGCGGAAGCCUGAUCCAGCCAUGCCGCGUGUGUGAAGAAGGUCUUCGGAUUGUAAAGCACUUUAAGUUGGGAGGAAGGGC
rnacentral:rRNA from 1 species